GACGAACGCUGGCGGCGUGCUUAACACAUGCAAGUGGUGCGACGAACCAGGGCUUGCCCUGGGGCAAAGCCGCGAACGGGUGAGUAACACGUGAGUAAUCUGCCCCGAUGACCGGGACAACCCGAGGAAACUCGGGCUAAUACCGGAUGUGGUGCACAGGCUUAAGCCUGUGCACUAAAGGAAGCUUCGGCCUCCGCAUUGGGAGGAGCCCGCGGCCCAUUAGCUUGUUGGUGGGGUAACGGCCUACCAAGGCAACGAUGGGUAGCUGGUCUGAGAGGACGAUCAGCCACACUGGGACUGAGACACGGCCCAGACUCCUACGGGAGGCAGCAGUGGGGAAUCUUGCGCAAUGCGCGAAAGCGUGACGCAGCAACGCCGCGUGGGGGAAGACGGCCUUCGGGUUGUAAACCCCUUUCAGGAGGGACGAAGGUUCACCGGUGAAUAGCCGGCUGGAGUGACGGUACCUUCAGAAGAAGCCCCGGCUAACUACGUGCCAGCCGCCGCAGUAAAAC
rnacentral:rRNA from 1 species